GCCCGGGUGGUCUAGUGGGUAAGCAACAAUCCGUUUCCUGUGCGAGAGGUCCCGCGUUCGAUCCGCGGCUCGGGCC
rnacentral:tRNA from 1 species